UAGCCUAGUGGCUAAGGCUAUGGAUCGCCAAUCCGGAGACGACGGGUUCGAUUCCCGU
rnacentral:tRNA from 1 species